UACGUAGGUGGCGAGCGUUGUCCGGAUUUACUGGGCGUAAAGAGCGCGCAGGCGGUCGUUCAAGUCGAGUGUGAAAGCCCCCGGCUCAACUGGGGAGGGUCACUCGAUACUGAUCGACUCGAAGGCAGGAGAGGGAAGUGGAAUUCCCGGUGUAGUGGUGAAAUGCGUAGAUAUCGGGAGGAACACCAGUGGCGAAGGCGACUGUCUGGGGUUUUGCUGACGCUGAGGCACGAAAGCCAGGGGAGCGAACGGG
rnacentral:rRNA from 1 species